GGGGGGGGGGGGGGGGGGGGGGGGGGGGUGCGAGGCGGGCGAGCGGACGAGGAGCUGGCGCCUCUGACGUUAGCGGCGGACGGGGGAGUAACACGUGGAGAACCUACCUAUAAGACUGGGAUAACUUCGGGAAACCGGCGCUAAUACCGGAUAAUAUAUUGAACCGCAUGGUUCAAUAGUGAAAGACGGUUUUGCUGUCACUUAUAGAUGGAUCCGCGCCGCAUUAGCUAGUUGGUAAGGUAACGGCUUACCAAGGCGACGAUGCGUAGCCGACCUGAGAGGGUGAUCGGCCACACUGGAACUGAGACACGGUCCAGACUCCUACGGGAGGCAGCAGUAGGGAAUCUUCCGCAAUGGGCGAAAGCCUGACGGAGCAACGCCGCGUGAGUGAUGAAGGUCUUCGGAUCGUAAAACUCUGUUAUUAGGGAAGAACAAAUGUGUAAGUAACUAUGCACGUCUUGACGGUACCUAAUCAGAAAGCCACGGCUAACUACGUG
rnacentral:rRNA from 1 species